UCUUCCUGGACACUAUUCCCGAUCCAAAUCGCCAUCGAUUUCGAUCGAUCCGUUGCCCCUCGCCCCGUCUUGACUUCAUCUAAAUAUUCCCCACCUCCGACUCUACUGAUUUUCACAAAACGGAGCUCUCCCGUGACCUAGAGAGUCGUCGCCAUCUCGCCGGAGUCCGCCGCCUGAAGCUUCUGUCGCCGGUCGAGUUCGUCGUUGUCGGAAGUAUCCGACCGAGCGCUUCGACCCGGCCCCCAUCGAACACCGCCGCCACGACUCCAGCCACCUUCUGCCCGCUCGCCACCGACGCCGUUGUGGACGUUUUCGAGACCACAGCAGAGCGCCUCGUCUUGUACACCACCACGAAGUUCGGAGACCACCUGAGCAGGCGCCACCAUCGCCGCACGAGCCGCCGACGCCGUUCUUCCCCGACUCCGACGAACUCCCAGCCUCUGCUGUUCCGAUUGUUCGGAGUGCGAAGCGGAUCAAAAUUAAUCGCUAGAGUACUUCAACAGAGUUCAAGGCAAGUUUGCA